rnacentral:rRNA from 1 species
AGCUCCAGUAGCGUAUAUUAAAGUUGUUGCAGUUAAAAAGCUCGUAGUUGGAUUUCUGGUUUGAUGCGUUUGGCCCUCCCGGGUUUCCACUCGGCGUGCGUGCCGAUGCGCGUCUGCCAUCCUCGUUGAGAACGUUUCUACCCUUCACUGGGCCGGAUUCGCGAUCAGCGUCCUUUACUUUGAAAAAAUUAGAGUGUUUAAAGCAGGCUUGUGCUAUGAAUACAUUAGCAUGGAAUAAUAAUUUAGGACUUUAGUUCUAUUUUGUUGGUUUCUAGAGCUGAAGUAAUGAUUGAUAGGGAUAGUUGGGGGUGCUAGUAUUCAGUGGCCAGAGGUGAAAUUCUUGGAUUCACUGAAGACUAACUUAUGCGAAAGCAUUCACCAAGGAUGUCUCCU